UUUGUGGCUAAAUGUUUGUACUCUGUGGCCAUCAUCUUCCCACUUCCCCAACUUCUGAAACUGAGGCAACUACUUCCUGUGUGUAUAACUUUGACUCUUUUCAUUUCAGACCUAAAUGAGGCUGUACAAUAGUUGUCUUCUUGAACUGUAUUUCACAUGCCAUUUCCUCCAUUUUCACCUACAUAUGAGAUUCCCUUGGAUUGCUGAAUAAUAGUUCACAUGUAUACACAUACCACAUUUUGUUUAUCAAUCCUGGAAGUGAUUCUUAACUAUGACAUGGAAACCAUAGCAACAAAAAAAGAAGUGGAGCAACACCAGACCAAACUUCUCCUGUGCGGUGAUCUCUCAAGCAACGGCAAGAGCUUUGUCCUCACAAGGUUCCUGUCUUGAAGAGUUGAAAAGUCAUUCUGGGUGCAAGUAUAAAUUCUAUGAGUAUAAAUUCACUGUGAUGCAUCACCCGAGGAAGGAGGCAAUGAGGCUUGGCUUGGUGCAACUUACACUGGACAGAUACAAGCACUGACAUUCUAGAACUUCUCCAAACUAGCGCACAUUACGUGAACAUUUCUUACAACCUGGAAUAAAUCCUUGUUUGCUGUCAGA